rnacentral:rRNA from 1 species
GAAAGUAUUCCCUAGCUAGCGGCGAGCGAAGCGGGAAGAGCUCAAAUUUAUAAUCUGGCACCUUCGGUGUCCGAGUUGUAAUCUCUAGAAAUGUUUUCCGCGUUGGACCGCACACAAGUCUGUUGGAAUACAGCGGCAUAGUGGUGAGACCCCCGUAUAUGGUGCGGACGCCCAGCGCUUUGUGAUACAUUUUCGAAGAGUCGAGUUGUUUGGGAAUGCAGCUCAAAUUGGGUGGUAAAUUCCAUCUAAAGCUAAAUAUUGGCGAGAGACCGAUAGCGAACAAGUACCGUGAGGGAAAGAUGAAAAGCACUUUGGAAAGAGAGUUAACAGUACGUGAAAUUGUUGGAAGGGAAACGCUUGAAGUCAGACUUGCUUGCCGAGCAAUCGGUUUGCAGGCCAGCAUCAGUUUUCCGGGAUGGAUAAUGGUAGAGAGAAGGUAGCAGUUUCGGCUGUGUUAUAGCUCUCUGCUGGAUACAUCUUGGGGGACUGAGGAACGCAGUGUGCCUUUGGCGGGGGUUUCGACCUCUUCACACUUAGGAUGCUGGUGGAAUGGCUUUAAACGACCCGUCUUGAACACCGGACCACAUUC